AACGAACGCUGGCGGCAUGCCUAACACAUGCAAGUCGAACGAGACCUUCGGGUCUAGUGGCGCACGGGUGCGUAACGCGUGGGAACCUGCCCUUAGGUUCGGAAUAACUCCCCGAAAGGGGUGCUAAUACCGGAUAAUGUCUUCGGACCAAAGAUUUAUCGCCUUUGGAUGGGCCCGCGUUGGAUUAGCUAGUUGGUAGGGUAAAAGCCUACCAAGGCGACGAUCCAUAGCUGGUCUGAGAGGAUGAUCAGCCACACUGGGACUGAGACACGGCCCAGACCCCUACGGGAGGCAGCAGUGGGGAAUAUUGGACAAUGGGCGAAAGCCUGAUCCAGCAAUGCCGCGUGAGUGAUGAAGGCCUUAGGGUUGUAAAGCUCUUUUACCCGGGAUGAUAGUGACAGUACCGGGAGAAUAAGCGCCGGCUAACUCCGUG
rnacentral:rRNA from 1 species